rnacentral:rRNA from 1 species
UACGUAGGUGGCAAGCGUUGUCCGGAUUUACUGGGCGUAAAGAGCGCGCAGGCGGCUGGUCAAGUCCGAUGUGAAAGCUCCCGGCUUAACUGGGAAACGGCAUCGGAAACUGAUCGGCUUGAAGGUGGGAGAGGGUAGUGGAAUUCCCGGUGUAGUGGUGAAAUGCGUAGAUAUCGGGAGGAACACCAGUGGCGAAGGCGGCUCACUGGCCCGAUACUGACGCUGAGGCACGAAAGCGUGGGGAGCAAACAGG